rnacentral:rRNA from 1 species
CAGUCGCCACGGUAAUACGAAGGGUGCAAGCGUUACUCGGAAUUACUGGGCGUAAAGCGUGCGUAGGUGGUUGUUUAAGUCUGCUGUGAAAGCCCUGGGCUCAACCUGGGAAUUGCAGUGGAUACUGGGCAACUAGAGUAAGGUAGAGGAUAGUGGAAUUUCCUGUGUAGCGGUGAAAUGCGUAGAUAUAGGAAGGAACACCAGUGGCGAAGGCGACUACCUGGACUGAUACUGACACUGAGGUGCGAAAGCGUGGGGAGCAAACAGGAUUAGAUACCCCUGUAGUCCCUGUCUCUUAUAC